rnacentral:misc_RNA from 1 species
AUAACUGCCCCAUGUAUUUUUGCAGCUGCAUUCAGGGCAUUGACAUGCUUUCUUUUCUCUACAUUCAUCAAUAUCUUCACAGCUUUUAACACCAUCACCUUUAAACCCUGGAGGACAGGUGCACUUGCCCUCCUCGUUAUCCACACAAGCAGAGAAAGUGUGACCAUCUCGAGUAUCAUGCCAACAGCCUCCAUUGUUGAGUUUGCAUCGCCCACGUCCACUUGCGGUACAAGAGCUAUAACCAUCUCCUUUGAACUG